rnacentral:rRNA from 1 species
UGUGCCAGCAGCCGCGGUAAUUCCAGCUCCAAUAGCGUAUAUUAAAGUUGUUGUGGUUAAAAAGCUCGUAGUUGAACCUUUGGCCUGGCUGGCAGGUCCGCCUCACCGCGUGCACUUGUCCGGCCGGGCCUUUUCUUCUGGGCAACCGCAUGCCCUUCACUGGGUGUGUUGGGGACCAGGACUUUUACUUUGAAAAAAUUAGAGUGUUCAAAGCAGGCCUUUGCUCGAAUACGUUAGCAUGGAAUAAUAGAAUAGGACGUGCGGUCCUAUUUUGUUGGUUUCUAGGACCGCCGUAAUGAUUAAUAGGGACAGUCGGGGGCAUCAGUAUUCAAUUGUCAGAGGUGAAAUUCUUGGAUUUAUUGAAGACUAACUACUGCGAAAGCAUUUGCCAAGGAUGUUUUCAUUAAUCAGUGAACGAAAGUUAGGGGAUCGAAGACGAUCAGAUACCGUCGUAGUCUUAACCAUAAACUAUGCCGACUAGGGAUCGGGCGGUGUUUCUAUUGUGACCCGCUCGGCACCUUACGAGAAAUCAAAGUGUUUGGGUUCUGGGGGGAGUAUGGUCGCAAGGCUGAAACUUAAAGAAAUUGACGGAAGGGCACCACCAGGCGUCGAGCCUGCGGCUUAAUUUGACUCAACACGGGGAAACUCACCAUGUCCAGAUGAAAUAAGGAUUGACAGAUUGAGAGCUCUUUCUUGAUUUUUCAGUGGUGGUGCAUGGCCGUUCUUAGUUCGUGGGGUGACUUGUCUGCUUAAUUGCGAUAACGAACGAGACCUUAACCUGCUAAAUAGCCAGGCUAGCUUUGGGCUGGUCGCCGGCUUCUUAGAGGGACUAUC